rnacentral:lncRNA from 1 species
UUGCUGUUUUUGAAAAUCGGCGCGGUUACGGAGUCACUUGGCUUGGCAGAGUUGAAUUCGAGAGUCGACGAGUCGACGGAGUCGCGGUUGACGAGGCAGUAAGAGAACGAGGAGGCUUUGAUCUGAGAAGUGAGCGAGAGUGGGCCGCCGCCAAGUCCUAUCAAGCCAGCCGCACCGACAAACAAGCCCUCGUUGUCGUGACCGCAUCCGAUGGCCACCUUAUCCACAGAUCCAGAGUUCCCAAACGACACCGUUUCAGUGGCGAAGUCGCCGACGGUGUACGAUCCGUCGCCGUAGGAGACCUGGUAGAGACACGAAUCAUUCCGACACGCGAACACAUCGAGAUUCCGGCAUUGUGGAGUUUGGCAUCCGAGACGUGAGAACGAGGACGAUGAAGCCGGAUCGAAAAUCGGAUCGACUUGCUGAUAGCAGUCGUCGCAAGGCUUGCACUGAAGCCAGUUGACGUCGCUGCCGGUGUCGAUAACCAUGUAGAACGUUUUCGAAGGCCGGCCAAUUCCAACUCUCAAAAAGUACUCGCCGCUGCCCUGACUCGUACCGGAGGUGACCGGAGUCGAGAAAUCCUGUGGAUGGAGUAUCUCCGUGUCCAUCGGCACGAGAUCGGACUUGUCGGUGCCGGAUACAGCGAGUUGGAGCUUAGUAUUGAUGGCCUUGACCCGGGCUGAGUCACGAGCGAGUCGCGAAAGCAUCAAAGCCCUGUAGUCCUUAUGCGAGCCUCCAUGAAGAAGCUCCCUCGGGUGAAGCUCCAGAGAGAAAGACGAAGCCAGAGAAGUAGGCGAAAACGACGUGGUCUUCUCAUCUCUCUGGUCAGAGGGUUUCGAGACACUGCUCUUGUGAGAUAGCACGUCGAGAGUCUUCCGAAUAGAACCCGAAACAUCCAGCACAGAGCUGUGAGAAUCAGUGUCCAGCGAUAACUCCCUGGAGAAAACAAAAGGAGAAAGAGAGAGAGCGAAGGCAGCGAAAAUGGAGAAAAUAAAAAACUUGUCCGCCAUUUUGGCUGCAGAGAGGAUAGCC